rnacentral:lncRNA from 1 species
AUACAUGCAAAUAUGAAUAUUCCAAGGUAUUACCCUAACUAGCAUAUAAUCUUUUGAUACUUGAAUAAUAAAGUAGAUAGAAAUACAUACCUUGUUGAUAUAGCUUAACUCCAUGAAGCUCGAGAGCCUAGUGCCCCAAGUGUGACACCUCAAAUGGUUCAAACAACAUCAUCAACACUUGGAAUAACCAUGAAAAGAAGACACUUCAUGCUCAAAUUGGCUAGCCCUCAUAUAAGUAUCACUGGUGCCAAUUUCUUGAGCUAAAGGUCUUUAUAUAGUGUGGCUAUUAGGGUUACACCAUGUAACUCAUGAAUUUACCCAUUCCUUAUGCUCCAUGGGUUUUAACCUCCAUGGAGUAUCCAUGGGUCACCACAUGGGUUAAACCCAACAUAAGGAAUCUUGGAUCAUAAGCCCACAUAUAUAAGAAUUAACGAUUUUCACAAUCAAUCCCCAUAUAUUUAAUUAGUCUCUUUUGAUCACUAAAUUAAGUCCAAAUUAAUUCUUGAUCAAUACUAAUUAAAUAACAUGAUUUCAUAUUAAUAUAUUAGAACUUAUAAUAUAUUAAUAUGUCACAAAUGUCCUCUUCUCACAAAUGGUCUAUCCAAAUGUUCUGAUGCCAUGCAACCCAAAUGGACCAUGCCGAGUCGGGUCAAGUACAUACCAAUUAUAGUUAUGGACUUAGACACUAAUCCAACAGUCUCCCACUUGGAUAAGUCUAAAACUAUUAUUGAGUAUGACUUCAAAACCUAACUGGCAAUCGUAGCUCUCAAAAGCCGCUGUCGAACUCUGACCUUGUCGAUGAACUCUGACCUUUGUCAAUGACUUGUCCAUUAGAUAAGGGAUCAUAUAUUCCUCCAUUCUAGAUAUCAUAUGGACUGAGACAUUGAUUAAAAUCAUUCUCUCUGUCCAUUUGUUGUUUCCCGAUUUCCAAUUUAUGACGACUGACUAAUUGAACAAAUCAAAUCAGUCCUGGCUUGGCCAAGCACUCACAUGUAUCAUCAUUAAAUCAUCGAGGGGCCCACAAAUAUCUCUUUUAUCCUGAAGGUAAUAGGAAUGGAUAAACUUCUACUCAUAUGGCUUGUUCUACUACUUGCUGAAUCAUACACAAAGGCACAUUUUAUAACAUCGAGUUACCGAAUGCGUUUUUGUGCAAUCAAUGUACAACCAACUCAUAGUAACAACUCAUAUCUCUAGGUUUGAAGAAUAUAAGAUAUUAUCGUCUCAUGAUCACUCGUGAUAAAAUCCAUGAAGUGAUUCCAAUGAGCGCGGGUUGAAUCCAAUACUCAGAACUUAUGAGCACUCAUGAGUGUUGUAGCCCUUUGUCCAACACCUUAGACCUCUACAAGCCAACCCAUGACAGUCUUAAUUCAUAUCUACUUCCAACAUAUGACCGACUGUGGAUGGUUUGAAUAACUUAGUCAUUCCGGAAGAAUAACCUAGUUUAUUCGGGAAGUCAAAACAUGCAAAGUGAAACACAAUAAUAAUUGAAUCCAAUAUGGUAUCAAAACUUAUGAACAUAAAUAAAACACCUUUUAUUUAUCACCAUAUGAUUACACAUUAUUCAUUGUAUACUGUUUCAGCUAUCAACUUUAUUCUUGAAUUUAAAACAAUAGUUGUCCCAUGCUCCAAGCAUGUACACUAUGUUUUCUUAAACACUAGUCAUGCCACACACCAAGUAUGCAUACUAUGUUUGUCUAUGAUCUUUACUUUGUGAACUAGAUCAAUUGAACAUAACUUCAAUGAUUCUCUUUUCACACUCCCAAAUCCUUACUGCAAAUGCAAGAAUUCCAAAUUCAUGCCAUUUACUGAAAUCUGUUAGAUUCUAAACUUAUAUGCAUUGAUCCUCUUGUAAUGAUUAUGCACAAAGUCAGAAAGACUUGACAACAAUCAUUACAGAGUAUUCCAAAGGAGAUCAGCUCCUUGGAAACAUCCUUCUUGCAUUAAGUUUCCUAAUCUUAAACAGAUUGAAAAUUCUAACUUUGAAACAUUUCCAGAUUCCAUUUUGACUAUCACUUCUGAACAAGAGUUGCCUCCUUACAGAUUAUGUCAAUAUGGUCCUUCCAGAAUUAUCACUAUACUUCCAACUGUCCUUGAGCAACCAAUCUUUGGUAAACCUUAGAUUGUCCUCGACAAUUGUUUAAUCCUUUUAGUCAUAUCCAGUUCUAAACCUUUUCCCUUCUUAAUGCCCCAGGCAUUUGGAAAAUUUUAGAACGGAUGAAUAUAGCACAUGUAAUCGAUCCUAUAUCCGAAGCAUAUGGGACACGAUUCAUGAUGUCUCACAUAAAGACUAAACCAGUCUUUUGCUAUAAUAUUUCCAUUUCAAUUUGCCAAGUUCUCAUAAUUCAGAUUAUGAAAAGGGAUGCCGUAAUCAUAAUCGAAUUUUAGAACGCAAAUAAUGGACCCAUAUACAGAAUUUCCUUAUGUUGAGCCAUUCCAACAUGAAAUUCAUAUAUAUCCUUGACUAAAUGAUUAAAACCUCACGAUCUAAGCUUAUAGAUUUGAGAUGAAGUAUAAUUUCCUCUCCCUUAAUUAUAGCAAAACAACUUUUUCCCAAUUGAAACUUUUGUUUUCUAUAAUUAACAUUGCUAACUUGCAAUACUUAUCAUAAUUAUCAUGCUCCCACUAACAUGAUGAUUAUUAGCAUAACACUUAUGCUCCCACUAGCUUUGACAUGUACUCAGAAAUCAGCUGGACUUCUAGAAAUCAAUACUUCAUUGACUUUCUUACCAAAGUUCAGAUUUCUGAUACUAGAUUGUUUUGAUAAAACUUUAUCAAAAUCAUACACCUUCCCUUAGAUAGCACACUUGUGUAUCUAAACAAUUAUGAAGAGGGAUGCCGUAAUCAUAAUGUUUAGACCUUUUUGCCACUUCUCACAAGUCCAAAUUAGUGUGCCGGUUAACCACACGCGCUCCACUAACGACUUUGAGAAUGCAAAUAUCACAAUUGCUAUCUAGCUAAAAUCUACUUAGUGAAAGUGUUUCCUCACCAUCAUUUUCAUGAAUCGGAGAGAAACCUUAUGACACUUAGAUUUAAUGGUGUAUGUGUUCUUAUCCAUGUGAAUUGUCAAAACCAUAGUCACAAGACAAGGAUAAUGACAAAUCCAAACUCAUAUGGACUGAACUCAAUCUUAAUUUCUUGCCACCUGGCAGCUCAAGGGCCUGCCAUUGCUUCCAAGUUGUUGUGCAACAAAUUGAGAACUCUAAGAACUCAUAUGCAAAGCCAACUUUAACUGGAAUGGGCACAGAAUAUGUCAACACGAUAGGUUAUGAACCUCAAGUCGUGUGCUAGUGAAGAACUUCAGGUUUUAUUCUUGAUUAGUUCUUGAGACUUUCAAGACCUUUAAGACUCCCACUGUCCUCUUGACAUAUAAGACUCCCUUGUCAAACAUCCAAGAGAUAGUGCGGAUUCUAAUCAAGAAAAACACUUUACCCAAUUGGCCUAAGUUGGUCUUUGUUUUAUCCAAAACAUCACAACUUACCAAUUUCAAAUGUACAAGAGUAGAAAACUUUUACUCUUACAUUUGACAAGUGUUUUAAACCUUCUUUAAGACAUGUCACUCAAAUGACAAUCUUGGAGUAUGACUCUAAGACUUGUAUUGGAACGAAGUAUGACUCAUCUUCUUGAUUUAACCAUUUCAACAAUUCAAGUUCCUCUUCUUAGUCAUAAGAAUGCACUAAGAUUUCCUUAGAGAACUAAUUUUGAUAUGGUUUCUUAAUCAUUAAGAUGAUCACAAAACUGAUACUAAAGUACUCUCCCAUCUUUUCAGAUUUGAGAAACUUUUAUCCUUCUGCCUUAUUUGAUUCUUCUUAUCGAUCUUUAGUGGUGGACUUAAUCAGUGCACAAGAAUGUGUACUCGAUCCCUAAGUCCUUUACUUGACUCACACAUCCAUGUGAACAAGUAAUUAGUCUUAAUUUUCCAAAACUUGAAAGUUCUCAUUCAUCAUGCUAUACAACUUGCAUGAUUCCAAGUUCCGGUCCAAUUGAAACUUGGGUGAUGAGAAUCUUUCCUUAUUUGGUAAAUUUAGACAUUACCACAAAUGAAAGAAUCAAUUUCAUACUUCCACUCUUGCUACUAAUGGAAUCUUAUAAGCAACAAAAAUUUCCACAGAUGCCAUUGUAAGGAUAUUUUAAAAUAAAUAAAAUCAAAAAUUUCCUUUUAUUUUAAAACUUUGCGGAAAAACUAUCCUUACAAUCCAUAUGAAAACUUGUUGUUAUCUAUUCCUAAGCAAUAUCUCAUAACUCCUAAGAAGUAGCUCAAGAAUCCGAUUUUUCAAACUAUGCGAUAGAAAUCCAUCUAUGCGAUCAGAUUCAGCAUAUUCUUCCUUUAAGUUUCUUCACUUUCCUUUGAUUCUUAAACCAUCACCAUGCGACCCGGUCACAUCAUGUAUCAAGAAUCUCAGAAUAGAAACUUAACAGAGUUAGAUAGUGGAUUUUACCUGAAGUAGAGUCAAACUUAUUGACUUUAACAUCCUUAGGUAAAUUUGGCAGCUUCGCAACCAAUGCCCUUUCUUUGGCAAUACAAACAUAUGGACCCUUUGAUAAUGGUACACAGGACUAUCACAGACUUAGCUUUUCUCUUUACCAUUUGGUCAACCGAGUUGACUAUAGCCGAUCCCUUUCCAUUGGGAAGAGAAUGCUUUACUGGAUAUCCAAUGUCAUCAUUGUCAAUGUCCAUAAAGUUUUAGGAAGUUGAUCUUAACAAAUAGAUAAGAUCAUUAAGGGUCUUGUCAUAGUCUUUUUCAUAGGUGUUCCAAAAGAACUCACUAUGUGACUUAGAAAGUAGUUGAACCACCAACUUUCUCAAGACUUUGACACCCAACUCUCCCGGCUUGUCAAUAUGUGACUACAUCUCCAAGAUGUGACCACACCUAGACCUUGCCUUGCCAAAAGGGCCUGAGUGACCUUAAACUUUUCAAGAACUUGUGGGUUAGGGAGAAUAAUUUGAAGAGGUGAAGAAGUAUGAUAUCCAUGGGACAUCAUCUUCAUUAGGAAACCUUGUUUCAAGAGAUUUGGGAAGAUCAUAGGUGUCUAAACCAGACAUCUUUUGGGAGAUAUUCAAGAUAGUUGAUUUAAAGUCCUUAAUAUGACACCCAAUAUGAAAUAUUAAGGCUAGGACCCAACAAACUAUUUUAUAACUUAGAAGAGGUAUGCCGUAAUCCAAGCUAUAAAAUAUUUGAAGGUAGGUGAAUGACGAUUCACCAAUUUCCACCAAGAUAAACGAAAUGUAUUAUUAGGUUUUAAUUGGUUUUGAAACUCCUAGAUCUUUGAGAUUCAUUGAACUUUUCAAAGGCAUGUUUCAAUCUCGAGUGUGCCCUUCAGGUUUUGUGACUGGGAUGCCGAGGAUCACAAAACAAGGUGUGAAGUAACCAUGCAAAUCACUUGGUACCCUUAAUAAAUUACCCCUCAAUCGAUGUGCCGGUUAACCACACACGCUCCAUCGAUACUAUGAUAAAUAUUAAGUCACCCUUUACCUACCUUGUUAAGUCCAAGUUAGUGUGCCGGUUAACCACACACGCUCCACUAACGACUUAGACAAAGUGUAAAGUGUAAUUUCAUGGAUUAGCACCUUAUUCACAUUUUUCCUAAGUAACUAAGAUUGGGUAUUAUUAAGAGUUUAGUUACUUAGUAUUAUCAUUAAUACUUUUAAUGAAGGGAGAAUUCUAGUCCUGUCAAACCCGUUCGGCUAACGACCCUCCACCAGUCAAGCAAGCGGUGGGUGAGAGUGGACACCCAUUAAGUUGCCAUUUUAUAGGCAACAACCUUAUACCCACCUUAUAGACCGGCUUCGUGAAUGAGGCGUACUAGCGGUAAGACUGACUUUACUCUUAUACAUAUAUAUAUUAUUAACUUAUAAUAUUAUAAAGUAUAAGGGUUGAAUUUUAACUUUUAAAAUUCUAAGGGCUAACUUGGAAUUAAAGUAUUCAUAAGUGAAAACUUUACAAAUUCCAAAACUUGAGGGCAAGUUUUGAAACUAUUCAAAACUAAUUAAUUCCAUAACUUAUGUGUUUAAAGUAGUUUUAAUCCAAAAACUCUUCAAGUUCCAUAACUUGAGGACAAGUUAUGGAAGACUUUAAACUAAUAAAAGAAUUAACUUUUCUUUAUUUUAUAACUUAUGGAAUUAAUUAAGGUUACACUUUUUUUUUUUUUAUUUUAUUUUAUUAAAUGAAGAGACUCUUGGUCCUCCAUAACUUGAGGACAAGUUAUGGAGUCAUAAAACCAUUUAAUUAGAACUAGACUCUUCAUUUUUGUAACCUUUGCCAAUUUUUAUGAGUUUUAUGAUUCUUAAAUGUGACUUUUCAUAUAACUUGAGGACAAGUUACAAAAACACAUUUUAGAAUCAAUUCUUAGAUUAAUUUGGAUUAAAACCAACUAUCACAUAAUUUUAUUCAUUAAUCUAAAUUCACUCAUAAAACAAGGUAACACAAAAAACUUUUGGUGAUCCAUAACUUAUUCUUAAGUUAUGGAAUCCUUUAAAACAUUAACACCAAAUUUUGUAACUCCAAAAAAACUUUGAAUCAAUUUUUUUUUUAAAACCUUUUCAUAUCCAUAACUUAUGGAGGUUUCAAAAAAUAAAACUCUUUAGAUCAAACUUUUAAAACUAAUAAAAUAAUCAUAUUAUUUUAUCUUUUAUUAAAUUUGACCUAAUUCAACUCAUAAAGCAAAUUAUUCAAAUUUUACAAAUAAUUAGUUUUUCACAAGAACAAGUAAUUAUCUUAAAAUUUGACAAACUUCAUGUUUUUUUUUUUUUUUUUUUUCAACUUUGAAAAUAAAACAUUUGCAUUAAUAUAACAGAAAACAACCCAUGGCUCUGAUACCUCUGUUGGGUUUUGAGCAUUCUAACACUCCUAAGUGUACAUGCAACCCUAAAUACCUUGGAUCUAUGUUUUCUCUAUUAUACAUGCAAAUAUGAAUAUUCCAAGGUAUUACCCUAACUAGCAUACAAUCUUUUGAUACUUGAAUAAUAAACUAGAUAGAAAUACAUACCUUGUUGAUGUAGCUUAACUCCAUGAAGCUCGAGAGCCUAGUGCCCCAAGUGUGACACCUCAAAUGGUUCACACAACAUCAUCAACACUUGGAAUAACCAUGAAAAGAAGACACUUCAUG